rnacentral:lncRNA from 1 species
AACACUAGAGUCGGUCGGAAUUGUACAAUGAUUUACCAUGUGUGAUACAAUUUCUGGUCUCAAUUAACAGGAUCGAUUACUAAUUUGUUAUAAGCAGCGAGUAGGCCAUGAAUCAUGCACACAUCACGUCUCGCUUCCACUACAACACAACAGGCAGCAAUGCUCUAGUGGAACUUGAGGCUGGUGAGGACGUUGUUGUUGACGGGGUCGGCGAGGUGGUCGAGCAGGUUCUGGAAGGGGCCGACGCCGGUGACGAGCCCCUGGAUGAAGUACCCGAGGAUGGCGAGCAUGGCGAGCCUGCCGUUCUUGAUCUCCUUGAGCUUGAGCUCCUUCAUCUCCUUCUCGGUCUUUCCGAACCCGAGCGGGUUGAAGAGCGGGCCGCCGGGGUAGGACGGGUCGCCGGAGCCGGCGAGGAACUUCUCGAGGCCGAGGAAGUACUGCUUGCCCAUGGAGCCCGGGUUGUACCAGUCCUGGAGGCGGCGGUGCUCGGCGAAGCCCAUGAGCGCCAUGUUGAAGACGAAGAGCGUGUAGGAGUCGGCCCAGUAGUUGUAGGUGCCCGCCGGCGGGAUGACCCCCGUCUUGAACCACGGCAGCGCCGUCUCCGGCGGGAUGAGGCCCAGCUUGCCGAAGACCUCCGGAGCGAUGGCGCCCGCAGCGCCCAGCAUGGCGAAGCGCCCGUUGAUCACCUCUCCGUAGGCCAGCCACUUGGGCUCGAUGAAGCCGCCGGUGCCCUCCGGGUCGGAGAGGCCCAGCGGGU